rnacentral:lncRNA from 1 species
UAUGCACGUUCAAUCACAUGAAAGCCCUUAGUUGUUUUUCCAGCAAAACAGAUUCAGGCCCUAAGAGGAAUGCUUAGAAAUUUAUUCUUUUAUAAUCCAUCAUCUUAUGCCACUUGUUGAAGCCAAAGUGGCACUGGACUAGUUAGGUGAAUCUGUUAACUAAGUCAAUAUUUGUGAUCAAAGUGAUGAGACGCAUCAAGCCAGGCAGAUUCUUGCAUUUGAAAUGAAACACAUACACACGCAGAUCUUUACAUGCAAACAGGGACAGGAUGUGCGCUCACUGUUAGGUUGCUAUCUCAGUUCAAAUCCAUACUCCACACAGUAUCCAAGAUACAUACUGCAUCU